rnacentral:lncRNA from 1 species
CAGUGUGUCCCAGUGCAGGAUUUCCAGUGCCAGGGCCAAUGGUCCCAGCAAGUCCCAGUGCAGUGUCAGCACAUCCCAGCAUGUCCCAGUGCUGGGGCCUUGGGUCUCAAAAAGUCCCAGUGCAGGAUCCACGCAUCCCAGCACGUCCCAGUGCCAGGGCCAUGUGUCCCAGUGUGUCCCAGCACCUCUCAGUGCCAGGGACCGGGGUCCCAGCGUGUCCCAGUGCCGAGGCCAUGGCUCCCAGCAGCUCCCAGUUCAGGAGCUGUGCACCCCACUACGUCCCAGUGCCCAGCCAUGGCUCCCAGCACGUCCCAGUGCCAGCAGCCCGUCCGUCCCAGUGCAUUCCAGCCCCUCCCAGUGCAGCGAGAGGGAAACGGUGACUCAGAAGCGCUGGGGCCGGGCUGAUGGGAGCCGGGUGCCCCCUGCCCCACGCGGGGUGCUCGCCGUGGGGCCAAGAGGGCUCGGCCGGGGCAGCGGGCACCCAUGGGUGCUGCCAGCCCCGUGCCGCGCCGUGCCGCGCCGCCUCUCGCGCUCCCCUCCCAUCCUCUCCCUUUCCUGCGCACGGACACCCUUGGAAUGGCUCUUGGCUGCUUUCUCUGAGACAGGAAGGUGUCCCCGAGUCUCAGGAAGGAAAAACACUCAGUGCUGAACCCACAAAGACCGUCUCCGAGGGGCCGGGGCUGGAGACGCUCCAGGCCUGACAUCACCUGGGAACUGGAACCAGAACCGCAGCUGCACUCCGCGCCUGGUAUUUUUUUUUUUUUUCUUUAACUUGUGUUUUUAAACGGUCUUUUAUAGAUCUUUUUUUUUUUUUUUCCCUUUCCCUUCUCCAUUCCCCUCCCAAAUAUUUCAGCCUCUCCGCUGUUUAACCUUGCUGGGCCAGCGAGGCAGGAAUGCAGCGGGGCUGCACCCGCACCCGGCGGGGCCGGGACCGAGCUGCCGGAGGGGGCUCGGCGUGGGGCUGCUGGAAGGGGCUGGGAUCCAGCUCUGGGAUCCAGCUCUGGCAUCCAGCUCUGGGAUCCAGCCCCAGGAUCCAUCCCUGGGAUCCAGCCCCAGGAUCCAGCCCCAGGACCCAGCCCUCCUCAUGCCCUGUGCUGUGGCAGCCCCUCUGGGCUCUGCCCGGAGCAGAGGCUCAGGAUGAAGACCCCAAUCGCAUCCUAAAUGGCACCAGAGCAAAGCUGGGGCGCUCGGUGCCCAGGGACAUCGUCCCCGUGGCAGGAGCCGCAGCGAUUGCCCGAGUGGGGCC